rnacentral:rRNA from 1 species
GACGAACGCUGGCGGCGUGCCUAAUACAUGCAAGUUGAGCGCUGAAGGUUGGUACUUGUACCAACUGGAUGAGCAGCGAACGGGUGAGUAACGCGUGGGGAAUCUGCCUUUGAGCGGGGGACAACAUUUGGAAACGAAUGCUAAUACCGCAUAAAAACUUUAAACACAAGUUUUAAGUUUGAAAGAUGCAAUUGCAUCACUCAAAGAUGAUCCCGCGUUGUAUUAGCUAGUUGGUGAGGUAAAGGCUCACCAAGGCGAUGAUACAUAGCCGACCUGAGAGGGUGAUCGGCCACAUUGGGACUGAGACACGGCCCAAACUCCUACGGGAGGCAGCAGGAGGGAAUCUUCGGCAAUGGACGAAAGUCUGAACGAGCAACGCCGCGUGAGUGAAGAAGGUUCUCGGAUCGUAAAACUCUGUUGGUAGAGAAGAACGUUGGUGAGAGUGGAAAGCUCAUCAAGUGACGGUAACUACCCAGAAAGGGACGGCUAACUACGUG